GGCUCAGUGGUCCAGUGGUAAAGCGCUUGUCGCGGAACCAGAGGGUCCUGGAUUCGAUCCCCAACGGGGUCG
rnacentral:tRNA from 1 species